rnacentral:tRNA from 1 species
UAUAUUUUAUUGUAAAACUAGCAUUUAAAUUUUUGAAAUUUAAAGUAUUAAUUAUAAUAUUAAUAAAUAUAA